CUACUGAGGAGUCCCACAAUAGGACGAAACGGCCGUCCAG
rfam:Schistosoma mattheei strain Denwood, Zambia genome assembly, scaffold: SMTD_scaffold0005169